CGGCGCGUCUUAAGCAUGCAAGUCGGGCGGCAAGGCGGAGCAAUCCGCCNUAGAGCGGCGGACUGGUGAGUAACGCGUGGGUGACCUGCCCUGAGGAUGGGGAUAGCCAUUAGAAAUAGUGGGUAAUACCGAAUAUGGUUGUCCGGCUAUGGCCGGGCAAAGAAAGGAGCUAUGGCUCCGCCUCGGGAUGGGCCCGCGUCCCAUUAGGUAGUUGGAGUGGUAAGGGCGCACCAAGCCUGAGAUGGGUAGCCGGCCUGAGAGGGUGAACGGCCACACUGGGACUGAGAUACGGCCCAGACUCCUACGGGAGGCAGCAGCUAAGAAUAUUCCGCAAUGGGCGAAAGCCUGACGGAGCGACGCCGCGUGUAUGAAGAAGGCCGAAAGGUUGUAAAGUGCUUUUAUUGCGGAAGAAUAAGCGGGGGAGGGAAUGCCCUCGUGAUGACGGUACGCAAUGAAUAAGCCCCGGCUAAUUACGUGCCAGCAGCCGCGGUAACACGUAAGGGGCGAGCGUUGUUCGGAAUUAUUGGGCGUAAAGGGCACGUAGGCGGUUAACCAAGUCUGGCGUGAAAUGGCGGGGCUUAACCCCGUCACGGCGUUAGAAACUGGAGAACUAGAGUCACGGAGGGGGAGUUGGAAUUCCGCGUGUAGGGGUGAAAUCUGUAGAUAUGCGGAAGAACACCGGUGCGAAGGCGAAC
rnacentral:rRNA from 1 species